rnacentral:rRNA from 1 species
UACAGAGGGGGCAAGCGUUGUCCGGAAUCACUGGGCGUAAAGGGCGCGUAGGCGGGAUGGCAAGUCAGUCGUGAAAUCUCUCGGCUCAACCGAGAAACGUCGGCUGAUACUGCCGUUCUUGAGGGAUGCAGAGGAGACUGGAAUUCCCGGUGUAGCGGUGAAAUGUGUAGAUAUCGGGAGGAACACCGGUGGCGAAGGCGGCGACCUGGGUAGAUACUGACGCUGAGGCGCGAAAGCGUGGGGAGCAAACAGG